GGUUCGGUGGUGUAGUUGGUUAUCACGUCAGUCUAACAUUGUCCAAUGUUUAUCACACUGAAGGUCGGGAUUUCGAGCAUCCCCUGAAUCA